GGGGAUGCCGAGCUUCGACGGUGCGUUCGCGUCUUGUUUUGCAGGCCGAGCCGGCUUAACUCGUUAAACUGAGCCGCAAACGAUAAUUGCCAACAUCGUAGAAAAAGCUAAGGCCGCUAUUGCCAACGCAAUGCGCGCGCCUCAAGCUGUACCGGUCGUCGCUUAAGCCGACCGCGAUCCCCAUGGCUCACCCGCAGCUAUGGCCAGAUCGUCAUAUCGCGGGUUAAGGCUCUAACUUUGGCGCAAGUUAAAGCUCGAAAAGGCAGCGCCGCCGUCAAUCGUUUCUCGUUUGCUCUCAAGCGAUUGCCGUAAAUACGAGCAAACCAAGCCUGUGAAGAUGAAUAAGCCGCGCGUAUCCGGACAGGGGUGCAACUCCCCUCAUCUCCACCA
rnacentral:tmRNA from 1 species